GACGAACGCUGGCGGCGUGCCUAAUACAUGCAAGUCGAGCGGAUCUUCUCCUUCGGGAGAAGGUUAGCGGCGGACGGGUGAGUAACACGUAGGCAACCUGCCCACAAGACCGGGAUAACAUUCGGAAACGAAUGCUAAGACCGGAUACGCAACUUGGUCGCAUGACUGGGUUGGGAAACACGGUGCAAGCUGUGGCUUGUGGAUGGGCCUGCGGCGCAUUAGCUAGUUGGUGAGGUAACGGCCCACCAAGGCGACGAUGCGUAGCCGACCUGGGAGGGUGAACGGCCACACUGGGACUGAGACACGGCCCAGACUCCUACGGGAGGCAGCAGUAGGGAAUCUUCCACAAUGGGCGAAAGCCUGAUGGAGCAACGCCGCGUGAGUGAGGAAGGCUUUCGGGUCGUAAAGCUCUGUUGCCAGGGAAGAAUAAGGGCUAGUUAACUGCUAGUCCGAUGACGGUACCUGAGAAGAAAGCCCCGGCUAACUACGUGCCAGCAGCCGCAGUAACAC
rnacentral:rRNA from 1 species